rnacentral:rRNA from 1 species
GAUGAACGCUGGCGGCGUGCCUAAUACAUGCCAGUCGAGCGAACAGACGAGGAGCUUGCUCCUCUGACGUUAGCGGCGGACGGGUGAGUAACACGUGGAUAACCUACCUAUAAGACUGGGAUAACUUCGGGAAACCGGAGCUAAUACCGGAUAAUAUAUUGAACCGCAUGGUUCAAUAGUGAAAGACGGUUUUGCUGUCACUUAUAGAUGGAUCCGCGCCGCAUUAGCUAGUUGGUAAGGUAACGGCUUACCAAGGCAACGAUGCGUAGCCGACCUGAGAGGGUGAUCGGCCAAACUGGAACUGAGACACGGUCCAGACUCCUACGGGAGGCAGCAGUAGGGAAUCUUCCGCAAUGGGCGAAAGCCUGACGGAGCAACGCCGCGUGAAUGAUGAAGGUCUUCGGAUCGUAAAACUCUGUUAUUAGGGAAGAACAAAUGUGUAAGUAACUAUGCACGUCUUGACGGUACCUAAUCAGAAAGCCACGGCUAACUACGUG